GACGAACGCUGGCGGCGUGCUUAACACAUGCAAGUCGAACGGAAAGGCCCUGCUUUUGUGGGGUUCUCGAGUGGCGAACGGGUGAGUAACACGUGAGUAACCUGCCCUUGACUUUGGGAUAACUUCAGGAAACUGGGGCUAAUACCGGAUAGGAGCUCCUGCUGCAUGGUGGGGGUGGGAAAGUUUCGGCGGUUGGGGAUGGACUGGCGGCUUAUCAGCUUGUUGGUGGGGUAGUGGCUGACCAAGGCUUUGACGGGUAGCCGGCCUGAGAGGGUGAGCGGCCACAUUGGGACUGAGAGACGGCACAGACUCCUAAGGGAGGCAGCAGUGGGGAAUAUUGCACAAUGGGCGGCAGCCUGAUGCAGCAACGCCGCGUGCGGGAUGACGGCCUUCGGGUUGUAAAACGCUUUCGCCUGUGACGAAGCGUGAGUGACGGUAAUGGGUAAAGAAGCACCGGCUAACUACGUG
rnacentral:rRNA from 1 species